UAGGUUCAUCAGCAGUCUGGAUGAUUCUGACCCAAUGAAGACAUACUAACAUGUCUUUCUAGGACAAAUUCCAGGAGUUGCUUCUAAAUGUGGGGACAUGAGCUGGAGAGAGUGGUGCCCCCAUCUGGCCAUCAUCUUGGCCAAUUCCAUCUGCCCUCAACUCCAGAACGUGAUGGUCAACAUGCUGGCUGAUACUCUUGCAAGGAAUGGGCACACGUGGUCUGCUCAUUUCUGUUAUAUGGCCAUGCGCAUAGAGCCUAGUUACUAUCAUCGGGACUCUAAGCUGACACUGAUUGGACAGGAUUUCAGCAUGCCAUUGAAGGAGUUUGUAUGUGAUGCUGCAAUACAACGAACUGAGACAUACGAGUACA